rnacentral:rRNA from 1 species
UACGUAGGGUGCAAGCGUUGUCCGGAAUUAUUGGGCGUAAAGAGCUCGUAGGCGGUCUGUCGCGUCGGCUGUGAAAACCUGGGGCUCAACUCCGGGCCUGCAGCCGAUACGGGCAGACUAGAAUUCGGUAGGGGAGACUGGAAUUCCUGGUGUAGCGGUGAAAUGCGCAGAUAUCAGGAGGAACACCGGUGGCGAAGGCGGGUCUCUGGGCCGAUAUUGACGCUGAGGAGCGAAGGCGUGGGGAGCAAACAGG